UGCUUCUCCCUGUUUCUUCUACCACUUCUUUAUUGAUUUCUGUUCCUUUGCUGCCUCUAUCUAAACCCAACCCUCUAUAUACCUACUUCUCUUCUUCUAUCAUCAUUUCUACUGUGUCUCACUUAUGUAAACCCCUCACAGAGUAAACACAAUUCUUAAUCCUUUCUUUGCAAAACUGCAGCCCUGUCUGCUUGUUUUACCACAGAUAUUCAAACUGAGCAUCAACUAUUAACUACAGUGACUUCUCUAAUCUAGCUUACCGCACAAAUGAGGGAAAACCAUGGGUACUUCCAGUUGUUCACAAAGUAGAACUACAGAUUGCUUCUGAUCCUACCUUGAAUCAUGAAUACUUACCUAUAUUAGGUUUCCCUGACUUUCGAUCUUCUGCCAUCCGGUU